rnacentral:rRNA from 1 species
UACGUAGGGGGCAAGCGUUGUCCGGAAUCAUUGGGCGUAAAGCGCGUGUAGGCGGCCCGAUAAGUCCGCUGUGAAAGUCCAGGGCUCAACCCUGGGAUGCCGGUGGAUACUGUCGGGCUCGAGUCCGGAAGAGGAGUGUGGAAUUCCUGGUGUAGCGGUGAAAUGCGCAGAUAUCAGGAAGAACACCCGUGGCGAAGGCGGUUCUCUGGGACGGUACUGACGCUGAGACGCGAAAGCGUGGGGAGCAAACAGG